AGUGAUUAGAAUAAAUCCAUACAUUUAGGAUGUUGACACCAUACUUAUCAUUUAUGAUAUUCACAAACUUGUUUCUGGCUGCAAUUUCAAAUGAUUUUAACAGUAAUCCUUCAGUGGGAAUGCUUGCAAGUCUCAGUAUCUAUCCCAGUUGAUAUCCAGGUUGUAUUCCAAGAACUGUUUACUUAGAGCAGUAAUAAUUUUUCCCAGACAGAUGUCUCACUUGUGUUCAGCAAUACAGUCUUCUAGGUAAUGGAGAGUGGCACCUAUAUAUAUUUCAUGACAAUUAAGAUCCUUAUUAUAAAGAUGGAUAAUAUAGAUCCCCUAUAUUUUUCCCCCAUUGUGCUUAAAUUUAUUAUUUUUUACUUUGCUUGUAAUCCAAUAGUUUAUACAAUAGUUUAUACAAUAGCCAGCUUCUUAUCUGAGGCUCAUGCAGUUUUUCCAAACAACUUCAACUUUGAUGCAUCAUAUGGUACUUUAAUAAAACUUUGGCUAUCCUAGGAUAGAGGUGACACUGCAUCAACAGUGUUGUUAUUUGGUCUUGUAUUGCUUAGUGAAUUUUUCACAUUAUUAAAAAUAGACAUCAUAAACUUUAUAGUAUAUCUGUUUCUUUUUGUAAUGAUAUUAGAAAACUCUUCUUCCUUAUUGCGGCUAUUGAAACAAUGCAU
rnacentral:lncRNA from 1 species